UUGUCUGCUGGAGGCAAGUAUGAAUGCUGCAAUUAGCCAGAAUGAUUAGGAUGUAAUGGCCUUUCAGCUUCAAAACCUGGCUACUUCCUCCCUGGGGGAAUAUUUUGUUGGGAGGUGUUAACGGGCCCGGAUUGUUUACUGUCUGGAAUCCCCCUGUUUACAGAGUGUUUUUCUUUAUUUACUGUUCUGAUUUUAGAGUUUUCUAAAUAUUGGAAGCCAGAUUAUAUUCAUUUUCAUGGCUCACAGCAACACAAUGAUGAUGAUGAUGAUGAUGAUGAUGAUGAUGAUGAUGAUGAUGAUGAUGAUGAUGACUCUGAUAAUACACAUUAUUUUUCUCUCUCCCUAGCUUCCUCCUUGGGGGAAUCCUUUAUUGGGAGAUGUUAGCUGGCCCUGAUUGUUACCUGUCAGGAAUUCCCCUGUUUUCAGAGUAUUGCUCUUUAUUUACUGUCUGGAUUUUAGAAAUUAUAUUGUUCUGUUUUAUUAUACCACAGUAAUUUUUGUUGGGGUAUAAUGAAGCUCUGUAUGUGCUAAAGAAAAAACUACACUGCUGAUCAUAACAAGGAGGAGCUAAUCUAAGUCAGCAGCUAAGUAAUUAAGUUUGGACCACACCCGGUGGGGUGUAUCUGUGUCUGUGUGUAUUAACUUCUGCUCUCCUACUUUUGGUUUCAUUUUUGCUUUUUGGAUCUUUCUCUUGGAAGAAGAGGGCGGGGAAGCCAUGCUUUUUGUUUUUUGCAAUGCUUUUUGAAUCUCGAAAUUCUUACAAGGACUAUUGCAUCUUCUCAACCACCCUCCAGACAGAAAAAAGAAAUCUCAGAUCUAAAAGUUAAUGACAGCAGUACUAUGAAGUCAAGAAUGUAAAAAGAAGUUACAAUGUGCAAAUGCAAAGCUGAAAACAAAAUAUAACUGCAUAAAGCAUGUGCUGAGAAAGCUAUUUUACCUUCAACAAAUGGAUGACUUCUAAGCAUCAAUUAAAAAAUGGGUCACAAGGAGCAGAAAGAAAGCGCUAGCUCUUUUUUGCUUCCCGGACCCCAACACAAAGACAUCAUUUAUCUGUUCUGUCCUCUUUUUGAUGCAGAGGAGGGCAGAGUGGUGAUCCUUACUCUCUCAUUUCCAC